rnacentral:rRNA from 1 species
GUUAGGAAUAUUCGUCAAUGGGGGAAACCCUGAACGAGCAAUGCCGCGUGAGUGAUGAAGGUCUACAUGAUUGUAAAACUCUGUUGCGAGGGAAGAACGAUUACUAUAGGUAAUGAUAGUAAUGUGACGGUACCUCGUCAGAAAGCUCCGGCUAACUACGUGCCAGCAGCCGCGGUAAUACGUAGGGAGCGAGCGUUAUCCGGAUUUAUUGGGCGUAAAGAGUUCGUAGGCGGUUUGUCUAGUCUAAAAUCUAAGUACGGGGCUUAACUCCGUUUCGUUUUAGAAACUGGCAGACUUGAGUGUGGUAGAGGCAAGUGGAAUUUCUAGUGUAGCGGUUAAAUGCGUAGAUAUUAGAAGGAACACCAGUGGCGAAGGCGACUUGCUGGGCCAUUACUGACGCUGAGGAACGAAAGCGUGGGGAGCAAAUAGGA